rnacentral:lncRNA from 1 species
AAGAAAAGCCUUUUACCCAAAUCCCAUAACCUUCCCAAAAAGAACACGUAUUGCGUGACCCCUUCCCCAUUCUCUUCUUCUUAUGGAGAUAACAGACAUGAAAAAAGAACCAACCCGGGACCCUUCCCUCGAUUGGCUCUCAAAAAACCACACACGCAAAAAUCCUUCUCGGAAGAACACGCACGAAAAAAAUUCCUGACCCUUGAGCAGCGGCGAACGAAGAGAAAAGGAAGAGGAGAGCUCUUCAUCUCCGUUCCCUGAUCACACAGAGCAAGGGAUUCCUCUAUUCUUCAUUUUCCUCUAGACGGGUGCCAUCGAUUCAUGUCCAAAAUUCAAGCCCAGCUUUGAAAAUUCGAAAGAGAGUUCCAAAUACAAGCCAAAACGGAAAUAAAGGAGGAUUUGAAAGCUAUUCACACUUCUAAUUUUUUUCUUCGAUUUCUCUGGAAUGUCAAGUGAUAUUUGGGUUUAGAGCUUCUGAUUCAGGCACUAGCUAGGAAAUCUGUCGGAUUGAACUGUUGUCCGCUGCCGUCGAGUUGAAUUCCUUUGGUCGCUGGUUUGUCUCUGUUUCUGCUGCUGGAUUUUGCCUUCUAUUUCAUAACCGUUGUGGUUAUCUCCAGUUUAUGUCGGUAUCUCGGUAUGUAUACAUUUAGCCGAAAUCCUCUUUUGAAUAUAUAUGAAUACCUUUUACAUCUAGUUAUUUGCUUAGUAUUUGUUGAUUUGGUAUUCUAAGGCAGGGUUUGAAUUAAUUUCAUGAAUUUUAGAAUCAUGUUUCAAUUUGAUUAAGUGCUUUGGAGUUAUACGAAUAAUCUGCCACAGUUUGAUUUUUCAGCAACUGGUUGUAGGUUGAAGUUAACUCAUUAAUUAGUUGAGCCAUAUAGGUAUAUGUCACACAGAGUAGUUUGUGCCAUUGGGUGUUGAGUUGCUUCAAAUUUGUCUGUUUAUGGAAUUACGCCACUGUUUGCUUCUAAUUUGAUAGUCAAGUUUUUUUAGGCACAUCUUCAUGGGUUGAGUUAAUUGUGACACUAGCCUUUAAUGGUCUUGAAACAAUAAGAUGUGUUGAAUAAUUGUAAAGGGGUUUAUACUGGAUGGAAAGUUUUCUAAAGGUGUUGCCUCCCAUUAGCAUGCCUGUGAUAUUUCUGUAUUCUGCUACUACAAAGCAGCACCCGUUCCUUCAUACUUGGUGCUUUAGUCUUCUUUGGCUUGAUUAAUAACAUGCUACACAUGGAUAGUCAACUCACCUUGCUUAGUGGCAUGAAUCUUAUUUCGAAUUUCAAAGACCCGAGCAUCAUUUCCCUUACGAGAGUAAAUGUACUUAGUGGAAUUCCAGAUUUUUUCAGCAGUAUCAAGCAACAAAUACUGUUUAGAAAUUCGAGGAUGCAUAGUAUUCAAAAGCCAUGUCAUAACUAGAGAGUUAUCUGAAUCCCAUUGGCUAUAGCUAGCAUCAGUCACAACAUGUGCGUUCUUUUCUCCCGUAAUAUAACUAAGCAACUUUAUGGACUUAACAAAAAGCAAACAGGAUAUUGACCAAAUACGGCAUAAGAAAAUAUUGUCACCCUUUCGAAACAUCAAAAUAUCAUUUUUGGUAUUUUUGGGCUCUUUACGACCAUAAAACCAUCCGCGCGAGUCGCAAAUUUUCGGUCGGAACGGACCCGGUUGGAAUCGCCUAAUAUUUGUCUUGGAUGUCAAAUACGGCCUAAGAAAACAUUUUCACCCUUCCGAAAGUACAAAAUUGGAUUUUUGGUAUUUCUUGGGCAUUUUACGACCAUAAAAUCAGAAAUUCGUGAUAGUCGCAAAUUUUCGGCCUGGAUAGAUCCCGCUGGGAAUCGCCUAAUAUUUGUCCUGGAUGUCAAAUAUGUUUAAGAAAACAUUAUCACCUUUCCAAAACGAAAAAAUUGCAUUUAAAAAUUUUUUGUGCAUUUUACGCCCAUAAAACCAGAAAUCUGCGCGAGUCGCAAAUUUUCGACCAGGAUGGACCCGGCUCGGAAUCGCCUAAUAUUUGUCUAGGACGUCAAUCGGCCUAAGAAAAUAUUUUCACCCUUCCGAAACGAUAAAAUUGUAUUUUUGGGUUUUUUGGGCAUUUUACAGCCAUUAAACCAGAAAGUCGUGCGAGUCGCAAAUUUUCGAUGGGACGGACCCGUCUACGAAUCCACUAAUAUUUGUCCUAGACAUCAAAUAUGGCCUAACAAAACAUUGUCACCAUUACGAAACGACAAAAUUGCAUUUUUGGUAUUUUUUGGGCAUUUUACGGCCAUAAAAUCAGAAAUCCGCGCGAGUCGCAAAUUUUCGGCCGGCACGGACCCGGCUAAGAAUCGCCUAAUAUUUGUCCAGGACGUCAAGUACGGCCUAGCAAAACAUUGUCACCCUUUCGAAACGACAAAAUUGCAUUUUUGGUAUUUAUUUUGGGCAUUUUACGGCCAAAAAAACAGAAAUCCGCGCGAGUUGCAAAUUUUCGGCCGGGACGGACCCGGCUUGGAAUCGCCUAGGAUUUGUCUCGGACAUCAAAUACAGCAUAAGAAAGCAUUGUCACCCUUCUUAAACGACAAAAAUAUUAUUGUUGGUAUUUUUGGGAGUUUUACGACCAUAUAACCAAAAAUCCGCGCGAAUUGCAAAUUUUCGACCAAGAAGGACCCGGCUCGUAAUCGCCUAAUAUUUCUCCUGGACAUCAAAUACGACCUAGGAAAAUAUUUUCACCCUUCCAAAGUUACAAAUUUGAUUAUUGGUAUUUUUGGGGCAUUUUACGGCAAUAGAACCAAAAAUCCGAGCGAGUCGUAAACUUUUGGCCGGGACGAGCCUGGCUUAGAAUCGCCUAAUAUUUUUCCAGGACGUCAAAUACGCCCUAAGAAAACAUUGUCACCCUUCUAAAACAACAAAAUAUCAUUUUUGGUUUUUUUUGGCAUUUUACGGCCAUAAAGCCAAAAAUCCGCGCUAUUCGUAAAUUUUCGGUUGGACGGACCCGGCUCGGAACUGCCUAAUAUUUCUCCUGGAUUUUAAAUACGGCCUAAAUAAACAUUGCCACCCUUCCGAAAUGACCAAUUUGCAUUUUUGGUAUUUUUUGGGCAUAUUACGGCCAUAAAACCAAAAAUCUGCGCGUCCCAAAUUUUCGGCCGCGAUGGACCCGGCUCGGAAUCGCCUAAUAUUUGUCAUGGACGUCAAAUACGGGCUAAGAAAUUAUUGUCACCCUUCCAAAAUGACCAAAUUUUAUUUUUGCUAUUUUUUGGGCAUUUUACGGCCAUAAAACCAGAAAUUCGCGAGAGUCGCCAAUUUUUCGACUGGGGGGACCCGGCUCGAAUCGCCUAAUACGGUCUAAGAAAAUGUUGUCACCCUUUAGAAAACGACAAAUUGCAUUUUUGGUAAUUUUUGGGCAUUUUAAGGCUAUAAAACUAGAAAUUCGCGCGAGUCGCAAAUUUUCUGCCGGGACGGACCCAUCUCGGAAUCACCUAAUAUUUAUCCUGGACGUCAAAUACGGCGUAAGAAAAUAUUGUCACCCUUCCUAAAUGACAAAAUUGCAUUUUUGGUCUUUUUAGGCAUUUUACGACAAUAAAACAAGAAAUCCACGCGAGUCGCAAAUUUUUGGCCGGUACGGACCUGGCUCGGAAUUGCCUAAUAUUUCUCCUGGACGUCAAAUACGGUCCAAGAAACAUUGUCACCCUUCCAAAACGACAAAAUUGCAUUUUUUGUAUUUUUAGAAAUUUUACGGCCAUAACACCAGAAAUCUACGCGAGUCGCAAAUUUUCGCCUGGGACGGACCCGACUUGGAAUCGCCUAGUAUUUUUCCCGGACAUCAAUACAGCCUAAGAAAACAUUGUCACCCUUCCUAAACGACAAAAUUGCAUUAUUAGUCUUUUUUGGGCAUUUUACGACAAUAAAACAAGAAAUCCGCGCGAGUCGCAAAUUUUCGGCCGAGACGGACCUGACUCGCAAUUGCCUGAUAUUUCUCUUGGACGUCAAAUCUGGCCCAAGAAAUAUUGCCACCCUUCCGAAAUGACAAAACUGCAUUUUUGGUCUUUUGGGCAUUUUACGGCAAUAAAACAAGAAAUCUGCGCAAGUCGCAAAUUUUCGGCCGGGACGAACCUGACUCGGAAUUGCCUAAUAUUUCUCUUGGACGUCAAAUACGGUCCAAGAAACAUUGUCACCCUUCCAAAACGGCAAAAUUGCAUUUUUUUGUAGUUUUAGUAAUUUUACGGCCAUAACACCAGAAAUCCACGCGAGUCGCAAAUUUUCGGUCGGGACGAACCCGGCUCGGAAUCACCUAAUAUUUGUCCUAGACAUAACAUAUGGCCUAUGAAAAUAUCUUCACCCUUCCUAAACGACAAAAUUGCAUUGUUGCUCUUUUUUGUCCAUUUUACGACAAUAAAACAAGAAAUCCGCGCGAGUCGCAAAUUUUUGGCCGGGACGGACCCAACUCGCAAUUGCCUAAUAUUUCUCUUGGACGUCAAAUACGGCCCAAGAAAUAUUGUCACCCUUCCAAAACGACAAAAUUGCAUUAUUGGAAAUUUUUGGGCAUUUUACGGCCAAAGAAACCAAAAAUCCGCACGAGUCACAAUUUUUCGGCCGGAACGGACCCGACUCAUGAUCCCCUAAUAUUUGUCCAGGACAUCAAAUACGGCCUAAGAAAACAUUGUCACCCUUAAGAAACGACCAAAUUGCGUUUUUGCUAUUUUUUGGGCUUUUUACGACCAAAAAAUCAGAAAUCAAGCAGUCGCAAAUUUUCGGCCGGGACGUAUAUUUGUCUUGGACGUCAAAUACAGCCCAAGAAAACAUUGUCACCCUUCCG